CUACGGGCGGCUCCAGUGAGGAAUAUUGCACAAUGGGGGGAACCCUGAUGCAGCAACGCCGCGUGGAGGAUGACGCAUUUCGGUGUGUAAACUCCUUUUAUGAGUCAAGAAAAUGACGGUAGCUCAUGAAUAAGCACCGGCUAACUCCGUGCCAGCAGCCGCGGUAAUACGGAGGGUGCAAGCGUUACUCGGAAUCACUGGGCGUAAAGGACGCGUAGGCGGGUUGGUAAGUCAGGUGUGAAAUCCUACAGCUUAACUGUAGAACUGCACUUGAAACUACCAAUCUAGAGUAUGGGAGGGGGAGAUGGAAUUAGUGGUGUAGGGGUAAAAUCCGUAGAUAUCACUAGGAAUACCUAAAGCGAAGGCGAUCUCCUGGAACAUUACUGACGCUAAGGCGUGAAAGCGUGGGGAGCAAACAGGAUUAGAUACCCUAGUAGUC
rnacentral:rRNA from 1 species